UGCUAAGACUGGGUAGGAAAUAAAAAGGCAUCUUUUUAUUUUUAAAAGACCUUUUUCGAAAGGUAUGCUUAAAGAUGAGCUUGCGCCACAUUAGUUUGUUGGUGGGGUAAUGGCCUACCAAGACGAUGAUGUGUAGCUGGACUGAGAGGUCGAACAGCCACAUUGGGACUGAGACACGGCCCAAACUCCUACGGGAGGCAGCAGUAGGGAAUUUUCGGCAAUGGAGGAAACUCUGACCGAGCAACGCCGCGUGAACGAUGAAGUAUUUCGGUAUGUAAAGUUCUUUUAUUGAAGAAGAAAAAAUAGUGGAAAAACUAUCUUGACGUUAUUCAAUGAAUAAGCCCCGGCUAACUAUGUGCCAGCAGCCGCGGUAAGACAUAGGGGGCGAGCGUUAUCCGGAAUUAUUGGGCGUAAAGGGUGCGUAGGCGGUUAGGAAAGUCUAUAAUUUAAUUUCAGUGCUUAACGCUGUCUUGUUAUAGAAACUACCUUGACUAGAGUUAGAUAGAGGCAAGCGGAAUUCCAUGUGUAGCGGUAAAAUGUGUAAAUAUAUGGAGGAACACCAGAAGCGUAGGCGGCUUGCUGGGUCUUGACUGACGCUGAGGCACGAAAGCGUGGGUAGCAAACAGGAUUAGAUACCCUGGUAGUCCACGCCGUAAACGAUGAGUACUAAGUGUCGGGAUAAAACUCGGUACUGAAGUUAACACAUUAAGUACUCCGCCUGAGUAGUACGUACGCAAGUAUGAAACUUAAAGGAAUUGACGGGACUCCGCACAAGCGGUGGAUCAUGUUGUUUAAUUCGAAGAUACACGAAAAAUCUUACCAGGUCUUGACAUGCUCUGCAAAGCUAUAGAAAUAUAGUGGAGGUUAUCAGGGACACAGGUGGUGCAUGGUUGUCGUCAGUUUGUGUCGUGAGAUGUUAGGUUAAGUCCUAAAACGAGCGCAACCCUUGUCGUUAGUUACCAGCACGUAAUGGUGGGCACUUUAACGAGACUGCCAAUUAAACAUUGGAGGAAGGUGAGGAUUACGUCAAAUCAUCAUGCCCCUUAUGAUCUGGGCUACAAACGUGAUACAAUGGCUGUUACAAAGAGUAGCUGAAGCGCGAGUUUUUAGCCAAUCUCAAAAAAGCAGUCUCAGUUCGGAUUGAAGUCUGUAACUCGACUUCAUGAAGUUGGAAUCGCUAGUAAUCGCGAAUCAGCAUGUCGCGGUGAAUACGUUCUCGGGGUUUGUACACACCGCCCGUCAAAUCAC
rnacentral:rRNA from 1 species